rnacentral:rRNA from 1 species
GGUUAAGCGACUAAGCGUACACGGUGGAUGCCCUGGCAGUCAGAGGCGAUGAAGGACGUGCUAAUCUGCGAUAAGCGUCGGUAAGGUGAUAUGAACCGUUAUAACCGGCGAUUUCCGAAUGGGGAAACCCAGUGUGUUUCGACACACUAUCAUUAACUGAAUCCAUAGGUUAAUGAGGCGAACCGGGGGAACUGAAACAUCUAAGUACCCCGAGGAAAAGAAAUCAACCGAGAUUCCCCCAGUAGCGGCGAGCGAACGGGGAGCAGCCCAGAGCCUGAAUCAGUGUGUGUGUUAGUGGAAGCGUCUGGAAAGGCGCGCGAUACAGGGUGACAGCCCCGUACACAAAAAUGCACAUGCUGUGAGCUCGAUGAGUAGGGCGGGACACGUGGUAUCCUGUCUGAAUAUGGGGGGACCAUCCUCCAAGGCUAAAUACUCCUGACUGACCGAUAGUGAACCAGUACCGUGAGGGAAAGGCGAAAAGAACCCCGGCGAGGGGAGUGAAAAAGAACCUGAAACCGUGUACGUACAAGCAGUGGGAGCACGCUUCGGCGUGUGACUGCGUACCUUUUGUAUAAUGGGUCAGCGACUUAUAUUCUGUAGCAAGGUUAACCGAAUAGGGGAGCCGAAGGGAAACCGAGUCUUAACUGGGCGUUAAGUUGCAGGGUAUAGACCCGAAACCCGGUGAUCUAGCCAUGGGCAGGUUGAAGGUUGGGUAACACUAACUGGAGGACCGAACCGACUAAUGUUGAAAAAUUAGCGGAUGACUUGUGGCUGGGGGUGAAAGGCCAAUCAAACCGGGAGAUAGCUGGUUCUCCCCGAAAGCUAUUUAGGUAGCGCCUCGUGAAUUCAUCUCCGGGGGUAGAGCACUGUUUCGGCAAGGGGGUCAUCCCGACUUACCAACCCGAUGCAAACUGCGAAUACCGGAGAAUGUUAUCACGGGAGACACACGGCGGGUGCUAACGUCCGUCGUGAAGAGGGAAACAACCCAGACCGCCAGCUAAGGUCCCAAAGUCAUGGUUAAGUGGGAAACGAUGUGGGAAGGCCCAGACAGCCAGGAUGUUGGCUUAGAAGCAGCCAUCAUUUAAAGAAAGCGUAAUAGCUCACUGGUCGAGUCGGCCUGCGCGGAAGAUGUAACGGGGCUAAACCAUGCACCGAAGCUGCGGCAGCGACGCUGAUGCGUUGUUGGGUAGGGGAGCGUUCUGUAAGCCUGUGAAGGUGUGCUGUGAGGCAUGCUGGAGGUAUCAGAAGUGCGAAUGCUGACAUAAGUAACGAUAAAGCGGGUGAAAAGCCCGCUCGCCGGAAGACCAAGGGUUCCUGUCCAACGUUAAUCGGGGCAGGGUGAGUCGACCCCUAAGGCGAGGCCGAAAGGCGUAGUCGAUGGGAAACAGGUUAAUAUUCCUGUACUUGGUGUUACUGCGAAGGGGGGACGGAGAAGGCUAUGUUGGCCGGGCGACGGUUGUCCCGGUUUAAGCGUGUAGGCUGGUUUUCCAGGCAAAUCCGGAAAAUCAAGGCUGAGGCGUGAUGACGAGGCACUACGGUGCUGAAGCAACAAAUGCCCUGCUUCCAGGAAAAGCCUCUAAGCAUCAGGUAACAUCAAAUCGUACCCCAAACCGACACAGGUGGUCAGGUAGAGAAUACCAAGGCGCUUGAGAGAACUCGGGUGAAGGAACUAGGCAAAAUGGUGCCGUAACUUCGGGAGAAGGCACGCUGAUAUGUAGGUGAAGCGACUUGCUCGUGGAGCUGAAAUCAGUCGAAGAUACCAGCUGGCUGCAACUGUUUAUUAAAAACACAGCACUGUGCAAACACGAAAGUGGACGUAUACGGUGUGACGCCUGCCCGGUGCCGGAAGGUUAAUUGAUGGGGUUAGCGCAAGCGAAGCUCUUGAUCGAAGCCCCGGUAAACGGCGGCCGUAACUAUAACGGUCCUAAGGUAGCGAAAUUCCUUGUCGGGUAAGUUCCGACCUGCACGAAUGGCGUAAUGAUGGCCAGGCUGUCUCCACCCGAGACUCAGUGAAAUUGAACUCGCUGUGAAGAUGCAGUGUACCCGCGGCAAGACGGAAAGACCCCGUGAACCUUUACUAUAGCUUGACACUGAACAUUGAGCCUUGAUGUGUAGGAUAGGUGGGAGGCUUUGAAGUGUGGACGCCAGUCUGCAUGGAGCCGACCUUGAAAUACCACCCUUUAAUGUUUGAUGUUCUAACGUUGACCCGUAAUCCGGGUUGCGGACAGUGUCUGGUGGGUAGUUUGACUGGGGCGGUCUCCUCCUAAAGAGUAACGGAGGAGCACGAAGGUUGGCUAAUCCUGGUCGGACAUCAGGAGGUUAGUGCAAUGGCAUAAGCCAGCUUGACUGCGAGCGUGACGGCGCGAGCAGGUGCGAAAGCAGGUCAUAGUGAUCCGGUGGUUCUGAAUGGAAGGGCCAUCGCUCAACGGAUAAAAGGUACUCCGGGGAUAACAGGCUGAUACCGCCCAAGAGUUCAUAUCGACGGCGGUGUUUGGCACCUCGAUGUCGGCUCAUCACAUCCUGGGGCUGAAGUAGGUCCCAAGGGUAUGGCUGUUCGCCAUUUAAAGUGGUACGCGAGCUGGGUUUAGAACGUCGUGAGACAGUUCGGUCCCUAUCUGCCGUGGGCGCUGGAGAACUGAGGGGGGCUGCUCCUAGUACGAGAGGACCGGAGUGGACGCAUCACUGGUGUUCGGGUUGUCAUGCCAAUGGCACUGCCCGGUAGCUAAAUGCGGAAGAGAUAAGUGCUGAAAGCAUCUAAGCACGAAACUUGCCCCGAGAUGAGUUCUCCCUGACUCCUUGAGAGUCCUGAAGGAACGUUGAAGACGACGACGUUGAUAGGCCGGGUGUGUAAGCGCAGCGAUGCGUUGAGCUAACCGGUACUAAUGAACCGUGAGGCUUAACCUU